UGGGGAAUAUUGGACAAUGGGCGCAAGCCUGAUCCAGCAAUGCCGCGUGUGUGAAGAAGGCCCGAGGGUUGUAAAGCACUUUCAGCAGUGAGGAAAAGUUUACGGUUAAUACCCGUGAACCCUGACGUUAACUGCAGAAGAAGCACCGGCUAACUCCGUGCCAGCAGCCGCGGUAAUACGGAGGGUGCAAGCGUUAAUCGGAAUUACUGGGCGUAAAGCGCGCGUAGGCGGUUUUUUAAGUCGGAUGUGAAAGCCCUGGGCUCAACCUGGGAACUGCAUUCGAAACUGGAUAACUAGAGUAUGGUAGAGGGAAGUGGAAUUCCAGGUGUAGCGGUGAAAUGCGUAGAUAUCUGGAGGAACAUCAGUGGCGAAGGCGACUUCCUGGACCAAUACUGACGCUGAGGUGCGAAAGCGUGGGGAGCAGACAGGAUUAGAUACCCUGGUAGUCCACGCUGUAAACGAUGUCAACUAGCCGUUGGGGAUAUUAAAAUCUUUAGUGGCGCAGCUAACGCGAUAAGUUGACCGCCUGGGGAGUACGGUCGCAAGAUUA
rnacentral:rRNA from 1 species